rnacentral:tRNA from 1 species
AUGGCCCUAGUAAAUUAUUACAUAGCUCUGUCAGUGCUAAAUUACAGGCAAUGCCUGUGUGCCAU